rnacentral:rRNA from 1 species
AUUGAACGCUGGCGGCAGGCCUAACACAUGCAAGUCGAACGAGUGGCGGACGGGUGAGUAAUGUCUGUGAAAGUGCCUGAUGGAGGGGGAUAACUACUGGAAACUGUAGCUGAUACCGCAUACCAGAGCAUGGGCCGGGAUGGGAUUAGCUAGUUGGUGGGGUAACGGCUAACCAAGGCGACGAUCCCUAGCUGGUCUGAGAGGAUGACCAGCCACACUGGAACUGAGACACGGUCCAGACUCCUACGGGAGGCAGCAGUGGGGAAUAUUGCACAAUGGGCGAAAGCCUGAUCCAGCCAUGCCGCGUGUAUGAAGAAGGUCUUCGGGUUGUAAAGCACUUUCAGCGGGGAGGCGUUACCCGCAGAAGAAGCACCGGCUAACUCCGUGCCAGCAGCCGCGGUAAUUC